rnacentral:rRNA from 1 species
UACGGAGGGUGCAGGCGUUAUCCGGAUUCACUGGGGUUAAAGGGUGCGUAGGUGGGUUGAUAAGUCAGUGGUGAAAUCCCCGAGCUUAACUUGGGAACUGCCAUUGAUACUAUUGAUCUUGAAUACCGUGGAGGUCAGCGGAAUAUGUCAUGUAGCGGUGAAAUGCUUAGAUAUGACAUAGAACACCAAUUGCGAAGGCAGCUGGCUACGCGAAUAUUGACACUGAUGCACGAAAGCGUGGGGAUCAAACAGG